UACGUAGGGGCAAGCGUUGUCCGGAAUUAUUGGGCGUAAAGCGUUCGUAGGCGGUUUGCAAGUCUGGUGUUAAAGGCUCGGGCUCAACCCGGGUAUGGCAUCGGAACUGCAAGGCUGGAGUGUGGUAGAGGCAAGGGGAAUUCCCGGUGGUAGCGGUGGAAAUGCGCAGAGUAUCGGGAAGAACACCCGUGGCGAAGGCGGCUCUCUGGGACGGUACGUGACGCUGAGACGCGAAAGCGUGGGGAGCGAACGAGG
rnacentral:rRNA from 1 species